GCACAACGCGAAGAACCUUACCAGGCCUUGACAUCCAAUGAACUUUCCAGAGAUGCAGUUGUGCCUUCGGGAACGCUAAGACAGGUGCUGCAUGGCUGUCGUCAGCUCGUGUUGUGAAAUGUUGGGUUAAGUCCCGCAACGAGCGCAACCCUUAUCCUUAGUUGCCAGCACGUAAUGGUGGGAACUCUAGGGAGACUGCCGGUGAUAAACCGGAGGAAGGUGGGGACGACGUCAAGUCAUCAUGGCCCUUACGAGUAGGGCUACACACGUGCUACAAUGGUACGUACAGAGGGAGGCAAGCUGGCGACAGUGAGCGGAUCUCUUAAAGCGUAUCGUAGUCCGGAUCGCAGUCUGCAACUCGACUGCGUGAAGUCGGAAUCGCUAGUAAUCGCAAAUCAGAAUGUUGCGGUGAAUACGUUCCCGGGUCUUGUACACACCG
rnacentral:rRNA from 1 species